rnacentral:rRNA from 1 species
GAUGAACGCUAGCGGCAGGCUUAAUACAUGCAAGUCGUGGGGCAGCAUGAGUAGCAAUACUUGAUGGCGACCGGCAAACGGGUGCGGAACACGUACACAACCUUCCGAUAAGUGGGGAAUAGCCCAGAGAAAUUUGGAUUAAUACCCCGUAACAUAUAGAGUAGGCAUCUUCUUUAUAUUGUAGCUUCGGCGCUUAUUGAUGGGUGUGCGUCUGAUUAGGUAGUUGGCGGGGUAACGGCCCACCAAGCCUACGAUCAGUAGCUGAUGUGAGAGCAUGAUCAGCCACACGGGCACUGAGACACGGGUCCGACUCCUACGGGAGGCAGCAGUAAGGAAUAUUGGACAAUGGGCGAAAGCCUGAUCCAGCCAUGCCGCGUGAAGGAUUAAGGUCCUCUGGAUUGUAAACUUCUUUUAUUUGGGACGAAAAAAGGGAAUUCUUUCCACUUGACGGUACCAAGUGAAUAAGCACCGGCUAACUCCGUGCCAGCAGCCGCAGUAA